AACCACCUUUUGACAGAGCUUGUCUACAAGGACCUAAAAGUAGCUCUGGAGGAAGUUAAAACGUUUUGCCAGAUUUUGCUGAGGUGUACAGCUUCAUUGGCAGUGUCUUUGAUCCUGGUACAAGUACUAUCACGCACCUGAAUUA